UUUCCGUAGGUGAACCUGCGAAAGGAUCAUUAUUGGAUUUUGAAACUUCAGGCUGCUGCUGGCUCUCCUCGGAGGGCAUGUGCACGCUUGUUGUCCAUUAUUUCUCCCACUGUGCACAAAUUGUAGACCUUUCAGUAGGCCUAUGUUGUUUUUCACAAUCUCUGAAUGUAAUAGAAUGGUUUUGAAUCUUGGGAAAUACAAUACAACUUUCAGCAACGGAUCUCUUGGCUCUC
rnacentral:misc_RNA from 1 species